AUACGUAGGGAGCGAGCGUUGUCCGGAAUUACUGGGUGUAAAGGGAGCGUAGGCGGGAGUGCAAGUCAGAUGUGAAACACAUGGGCUCAACCCAUGGGCUGCAUUUGAAACUGCAUUUCUUGAGUGAAGGAGAGGUAAGCGGAAUUCCUGGUGUAGCGGUGAAAUGCGUAGAUAUCAGGAGUAACACCGGUGGCGAAGGCGGCUUACUGGGCUUUUACUGACGCUGAGGCUCGAAAGCGUGGGGAGCAAACAGGAUUAGAUACCCUGGUAGUCCACGCUGUAAACGAUGAUUACUAGGUGUGGGGGGACUGACCCCUUCCGUGCCGCAGUUAACACAAUAAGUAAUCCACCUGGGGAGUACGGCCGCAAGGUUGAAACUCAAAUGAAUUGACGGGG
rnacentral:rRNA from 1 species